rnacentral:rRNA from 1 species
GACGAACGCUGGCGGCGUGCCUAAUACAUGCAAGUAGAACGCACAGUUUAUACCGUAGCUUGCUACACCAUAAACUGUGAGUUGCGAACGGGUGAGUAACGCGUAGGUAACCUGCCUGGUAGCGGGGGAUAACUAUUGGAAACGAUAGCUAAUACCGCAUAAUAUUGAUUAUUGCAUGAUAAUUGAUUGAAAGAUGCUAUUGCAUCACUACCAGAUGGACCUGCGUUGUAUUAGCUAGUAGGUGAGGUAACGGCUCACCUAGGCGACGAUACAUAGCCGACCUGAGAGGGGGAUCGGCCACACUGGGACUGGAACACGGCCCAGCCUCCUACGGGAGGCAGCAGUAGGGAAUCUUCGGCAAUGGACGAAAGUCUGACCGAGCAACGCCGCGUGGGGGAAAAAGGUUUUCGGAUCGUAAAGCUCUUUUUUAAGGGAAGAACGGGUGGGAGAGGGGAAAGUCCCACCUGGGACGGUAUUUUACCAAAAAGGGACGGCUAACUACGU